rnacentral:rRNA from 1 species
GACGAACGCUGGCGGCCUGCUUAACACGUGCAAGUCGAACGAUGAAGCCGGAGCUUGCUCCGGUGGAUUAGUGGCGAACGGGUGAGUAACACGUGAGCAAUCUGCCCUUGACUCUGGGAUAACUGCGGGAAACUGUAGCUAAUACCGGAUACGACACCUUGGGGCAUCCCAGGGUGUGGAAAGAAUUUCGGUCAAGGAUGAGCUCGCGGCCUAUCAGCUAGUUGGUGAGGUAAUGGCUCACCGAGGCGACGACGGGUAGCCGGCCUGAGAGGGUGACCGGCCACACUGGAACUGAGACACGGUCCAGACUCCUACGGGAGGCAGCAGUGGGGAAUAUUGCACAAUGGGCGAAAGCCUGAUGCAGCAACGCCGCGUGAGGGAUGAAGGCCUUCGGGUUGUAAACCUCUUUUAGCAGGGAAGAAGCGAAAGUGACGGUACCUGCAGAAAAAGCACCGGCUAACUACGUGCCAGCCGCCGCGGUAA